UUGGGCUCGGCUUGCGGAGAUUACGGCUGCCGCCCUUCACCCUCGCACACACCCGCUCCCAGAAAAAGGCCAGGUCUCGCUGUGCCUGUCCCUGCUGUGUGCUGGGGUGUUCCUUCUCUCGGCCUCUGCCCAGCUCCUGUUGCUGCCUGGGUAGGCGGGGAAGGCUCUUCGUGCGUUGGUCUCUUCAUCCCGCUCCUCCGCGGCUCCUGCUGAGCUCCAGCCUCUGCUGGCUGUCUCCGCUCAAUGCCCAAACAAGAUGCUGGAACCAGUUUUUCUUCUCUUCGAGGGCAUAAUAGGGGAGGAGAGAGACAGUGCAUAAAUGACAAGACAGAAACUGUAUUUCUGUUAGCCUAUAAAGCACUUGGAAGACAGCUUGCUUUGCUUCUCCACCAGGUAUCCUGCAUUCUGUUCACAUACAGGCAACUUGCAUUGAAUCACAGGUAAAAAUAUCAAGAACUGGCAAGAGCUGCGUGAGUAUUGAAGGAUGUCUUCGAUCUUAAAAGUAUUUGGGAGAGACGAUAAGGAGAAGGAGGAGAAGGAGAAGGAGAAGGAGAAGAAAAAGGAGAAAGAGAAGACAGAUGGAGACAAAAACAAAAAAAAGAAGAAAGAGAAAAAGCAUGAUGGACAAGAUGAUGACAGCAGCAGCAGCAGCAGCAGCAGCUCUGACAGUGAUUCUGAGAAGGGUAACAAGAAGAAAAAGAAGGGAAAAGACUAACUUUGUGGUAACCUACAAGCAACACCGGAGCAUCAGCAGGGCUUGCUUUUGGGCAUUUGAUAACAUUCUACCUGGAAGAAGAACAAGAAUUGUCUGAUUGUUACAUUCAAAAUAAAGCGUCUUUGUUGUAUUUUA